GGAGCCGUCGCAUAACUGGUAUUGCACCGGUCUCGAAAACCGGCGCCCGAGAGGGUGUGUGGGUUCGAAUCCCACCGGCUCCG
rnacentral:tRNA from 2 species